UAAUGAUUAAUUAGCGCCCUCUGCCACGAACGAUUUCGAAACUCACAUAAUCCCGACCACACGUCUCAAUCCAUAGCCCGAGAAUAAUUUAUUCGUAGACCGCUCCUGUAAUCUACCGCGAACGCUUUCAUUUGGAUCUAUCACGCGCACGCUCCGUUUGUAGUAAUUUGCAUAAUUCGAUCCUUUUAAUUGGCCGACGAUCGUCCUCCGUAGAAGGUCAAAGUAUCGUCGAUUCAGCGUAAAAGUUACCUUUUCCCUUCGGCGAACGUUCCAAGGUAAUUGAAAAAAUGUAACGCGACAGUGGUACCGAUCAUCGUGUUCCUUUCCUUCGGUACGAAAUACAUUGAUAACGCGAUCAAGUCGAGCAUCGCAACUACGUCGAGUAACAUCCGCGGAUACACCCACGUGUGCUCGUGCGAACAGCGUGUUAUGAAAGCGACCACGUCGAAACAGGUCAACGUUAACGCGAGAAUGAAUGCAAGCUCGUUAAUCAACUACCUUCUAAAGUUUCUAUCGGAAUGGGAUCUUGGACAACGGAGAAACGGUUGCCGGACGAUUGUGUUCCCGGGCUUUCUACUGUAACUCCUCGCCGAGCAACCGUUGCUCCGUGGCUACGUUCCAAUAAAAUCGAACGUUGCUCCAUUAGCUUCCGCGGUUUGGAGCCGAAGAUGGAAAAAAAAAGGGAAACGGAAGAGAAUGAAAUUAUAAAAGAAGUGUUCGACAAAUUCAGGAACAAAGGGGAAUUCCAGGUGGAGUAUUUGCCGAUCGCUUGGGCGUAAUGAAAAUACAAAUCGAUUACGUUAAGCUAUUAAUAAGGCUUGGCAUCGGACGGUGACUUUGAAUUAGAGACAGAUCGCACGACGCACUUUGUUUCUCGUCGAUCCCGUUCAAUUUUCGAUGGACUGGAAUUAUUUUCUCGCCUUUUCGAAUUUAAUUCGACGAUGCACUCAGGUAGGAUUAUGUCAGAAGCCCGCGGUAAAAUUAACCGUGAAUUCAACAUCUUCUGGCACGUCUAUACGCAUCACGAAUUACGAACUACCUAACCAGUGGAAAAUAAUCGAUAGUCUCGUGGGAGACAUACGUAUGUAUCAAUACGCCACUCCCGCGACUUUGGCUUUUCAUUUUAAUUAAUUCGCUGAGCUAUUAUUUAGCGAAAAUUACUCGAACUUUUAUUGCGAAUCUACAAAAUUCCCAUGAAAAAAAAAAAAAAAUACAAACUGACCAUUUUGACUACUCUGGCAAUGUUAGCGUUAAGGAAACGUUCCAUGCAAUUUACAUGUAUCGUCAUCUUUGUAACGAAACUGGUAAACCGAUCGUUUCGUUUGAUUCGUUCAAGAAAAAUUCAAGUUUCUUGUAAAUUUCUCUUUGUGCAGAAAUAAGAACACAAAAAUGUGAAGACGUAAGAACCAGGCAUUAAUAACAAAAGCCAUGCAUGAACAUUGAACGUAGAUACAGAUCGAUAGAUAUUCAGAGAGCUCGCGUCAUGCGAUUCUCGUUUCACGUCAUCUCAGCCCGACGUCCGUCCUGACCCGCUUUUGCGCGUCAAUAAUAUCGUUGUUAGCGAGGAUAAACCAGAUCCAAUGAAAUUCGUCGUUGGAUCACAAAAUCGAAUAACAGAGUUCAGUUGGUUCUGGCGAGACGACGAAAGGUAUACGAGCAACCGAUUUGACAGGUAACGGAACGCUGAUGAAGAAGAAUACCAGGUUAUCUUCCGGGAUGAUGUCAGAGAUCGAACGUUUCUACACCGAAACGCGAAAGAGUAGGUAUGUUUACACGAGAGGACGAAAGCAGGCCGACGUUAAAAUAUACUGGUAAAAAUUCGGAUUAACGGUAUACCGGGAAGAUUUGAGAGAAGAAACGCGAUCAGAGAUCGAGUAAUGUUUCGUAACGUUCACUGAAUAGCAUCUUAAAAUUUUGAUAAUUAGAUUAAGAAGACAGCGUAAUAUGGAUUUUGCUAGUUUGCCAGAUGAAACGAUACAACGUUUAAAAAGGGAUGGACGUUUACGGAUGGAGGCUUCUAAAUAUACGAAAGAUUACGUACAAGUAUCAUCCGGCUGAUCCUCCGCGAUAAUCUGCUGGUGCGCGUAACAGGUAUCCGGUGCGUCUUUCCUGACACUGGUCUCCUCUUUUACAAACACCAUGAUUUAUUUUCCGAACGCGAGUCACGAUUUAUUUUUCUCGAGAAUCGCUGUUUUCUAAUUCACCGUGCCAAUUAUGCUUGAACUGCUAGAAUAAUCCAGCGUGUCCACGAUUUCACUUAAAAUUCCAAGACUCUUCUCCUUUUUACGGAGAAACGAUCACUGAAACGUCUAACUUUUUACUGUUAUAGUAAACCGGUACUUCGACUCUCGCAACUUUGUUCCAGCGAAUCUGAAAGUAACGAAGUUAUACGCCGAAAAUAUUCUCCUCUUAUUCUCUAUCCUAAUCUUCGAACUUCCAAUCUCUGAAUUUGCAGUUGCAAUGAAAAUUAUCGAACGAGCGUACGUAUGUAUCGAUUCUUCGCAAUGCUAGGGAUUUCCAAAGUAGCACAGGAGAUGUGGGAACGGUUCGAAAAGCGCGCUGCUUUGCGAAACGUCAAACGCGGCGCGUGGCGGAUCAGCUGUUGAGUGGAAGAAAAGGCGAGCCGCGAGAAGCAGAAUAAACGGCGCGACUCGCGCCAGGAAAACCGAGCUACUGACCGGGUACACGCGGCCGACGAUUCUUCGACAACACGAGUACGAGCACGAGCACGAGCACGGCCGAGUACCGGUUCGUGAAGUUCCGUCGGCUAUAUAGUGCUUCUUAUAAGGUGAGACCCGAAGGUGUACCGAUGCACUCGCGUCUUGCAACACUCCUACGCGAGUACACCCACACGCGGAUUAUCGCGACCAAACAAUCGACCGCGACCGGUCUAAUCGUAUUUCCCUUCAGGGUCGGUUUGAUUCGCCGGUCGCGAUAAUCGUUUGUUAGCUCGAUGGAAGAAGACUCGGCAGAGUUCAACGUUUGUUUAAUGGACGGUGAACGGGAUGAAGUCGGAGCUCUUCGCGCACGUUUCUGGGGUAAUACGCUUGGAAAGAUCGGUGUCGGUUGAAUACAUUUUGAUUUCAGGUGAACCGGCUUUAGAGCCGAUCUUUAAGGCAAAAUGGAUGAAGUUGUUCCAUUCGUCGAGCAAGUUGCGACAGACUUAUCGCAACCGUGACGCUGAUACGUAUGUUGAAUCAUUUUCGAGUCAACAGGAUGUUUCUAUCGAUAAAACGUUUUUUGAAAAAUUGUGAAUUGUAUCUCAUUAUAUUUAAUAAAGCUAUUCUUGGAAAAUAA